rnacentral:rRNA from 1 species
AACUCUUAUCAACGGAUAUCUUGACUCUCGCAUCAAUAAAAAAAAUAGUAAAAUGGAUAUUUGAUGUGAAUCAUCGAAUUUUUGAAGUAAAUCCAUCUGAUAUCAUUAAAUCGAGGACAUAUCUAUAUGAGCAUCA